rnacentral:rRNA from 1 species
AGGACGAACGCUGGCGGCGCGCUUAACGCAUGCAAGUCGAACGAGAUCCAUCCAGUAGCAAUACUGGUGAAGAUCGAGUGGCGAACGGGUGAGUAUCACGUGAGGAACCCACCCGGAGACCGGGAUAACCCUCCGAAAGGAGAGCUAAUACCGGAUGUCCUCAUCGGAUCGCAUGUUCUGAUGAGGAAUGGAUUCCGCUCCGGGACGCCUCGCGGCCUAUCAGCUAGUUGGUGAGGUAACGGCCCACCAAGGCGACGACGGGUAGCUGGUCUGAGAGGACGAUCAGCCACACUGGGACUGAGACACGGCCCAGACUCCUACGGGAGGCAGCAGACGGGGAAUAGUUGGCACAAUGGGACGAAAGGCCUGAUGCAGCGACGGCCGGCGUGGGGAUGGAAGGCCUACGUUCCGGGUUACGUAAACCCCCGUUUCGACGG